rnacentral:rRNA from 1 species
AUACGGAGGAUGCGAGCGUUAUCCGGAUUUAUUGGGUUUAAAGGGAGCGUAGGCGGGAGCUUAAGUCAGCGGUUAAAUGGUGCGGCUCAACCGUGCCCUGCCGUUGAAACUGGGUUUCUUGAGAGUGCAAGAGGCGGAUGGAAUUCAUGGUGGAGCGGUGAAAUGCUUAGAUAUCAUGAAGAACCCCGAUUGCGAAGGCAGUCCGCUGGGGCACGUCUGACGCUGAUGCUCGAAGGUGCGGGAAUCAAACAGGAUUAGAUACCCUGGUAGUCCGCGCAGUAAACGAUGAUUACCCGCCGUCGGCGGUAGACAGUCGGCGGCCAAGCGAAAGCGAUAAGUAAUCCACCUGGGGAGUACGCCGGCAACGGUGAAACUCAAAUGAAUUGACGGGG